ensembl:lncRNA
CUUCUCUCUGCGUUGUGUUGAUAUUUUAACCAGACCGGACAACAAGAGAUUCUUUGGACCACUUUUUUUAUUCUGAAUGAAUAAAAAGGAAAAUUUAUGAAAAAAGUUGUCAAUCCGUGGCCUUUCUCCACAAUUUCAACAUUGAUCUGCCAGUCAAAACAGAUAAUUUUAGCCACGGAACUUACACGGUUAAUAAACACCAAAAGAAAAUACAUACUUCAUGUUACCCAACCUCUAUUAGUGUUACAAUAAGAUUAAAUUGUAUUUUUAACAAAAAAAAUACAUAUUAGUCACAAGAAACAAACUAAUUUAAAACUUUUUAGUGAGAGCUCCAGCAGAACUCACCUUUCCCCAGCUGCGCUUACCGCGAACUGAAGGAAAACAACCGGAACCUAACUCUUAAAGGGGCCACGUACUAUAUUUUAACAAUUACAAAAUAACACUGAAAAAUUUACAUACAAGGAUAGAAACAGCUCAAAUAACAUUCCAGAUGAAAGAAAAAUUCCCAGAAUAUAAAAAUAAUUAUAUAAAUAUAAAAUAAUUGAUAAUAACAAAGGGAGGGAUUUUGUGUGAAAUUAAUAAAUUUAUAUAACACCUGUUACAUUUACCUCCCCUAAUUUCACCAAAAUUCUGCAUGUGCACAAAGAGGAUUUCCUAAAGAAUCAAAAUGCAAAAACUCAAUAGUUACAGCAAUGAAAGCCAUCUGUCUUGACAGAUACAGAGAAAUUUGAGGGUGAUCAGGCCCCAAAACCUCUUAGUUAAGUAUGUUGCCAAGUACACCAUACCACACUUAAUCUUUGCAAAAAAAAAAAAUCCUCAUUCACAUUAUUCAUAUAUUAAUCACACUUAAUGAAAAUGUACCCCAAAAAGAAAAAAAUAGAGAGAGUAAACUUCUUUCUCAAUCACAAAAAUUAGAAUAGGCUUAAAAGUGACUGAGACUUUUUCUGGAACCUGUCUGACAAGUUUGCCAUUUUAAAUGGUUUUUGGGCCAUGGUCUCAAUCAGACGGUUGACUUUUUUUACAACUCUACCAGCCCGUGUAGUAAUUGUGCCUUGCGCUUGUUCAGGACCUGACAUUGACACAUCAUCACGGACCGGCAAAUCGGAGUCAGUAAUACCUGAAUUGGUAAAGUCAACUGUUGCCGAUACAAUGUCACAAUCUGAAGUUCCUGCUCUCAGUGUUUUAUCAGAGAGCAUCUGGUGUUGACUGUCUGGAAUGGAAUUAACACAGAUCUUCGUCCUCCAAGGAAUCAGUGGAAUUUGUUGAUCGGCUCUCACAGUCAGAAUCGUUUGAGCAAUCAGCAACUGUAGAUCCACAUGUUUCAUCCUCAGGACAUGUCACUGGUACAGUCAUAAUUUGGGCGCUCCAGAAUGCAGCAAACCCCGGCGACCAAGCUGACGUUGAUCAAAGAGGAUCCACGAUGACUUGCAUCAAGGAAAAGUCACGGCACCAUUGUGACCGGUCUUUAUCUUCUCUCUGCGUUGUGUUGAUAUUUUAACCAGACCGGACAACAAGAGAUUCUUUGGACCACUUUUUUUAUUCUGAAUGAAUAAAAAGGAAAAUUUAUGAAAAAAGUGUCAAUCCGUGGCCUUUCUCCACAAUUUCAACAUUGACCUUUCCCCAGCUGCGCUUACCGCGAACUGCCAUCAUAUUACAAUUAUUAAAUGAACUGCAUAUGAUUAAAUCAACAAUAUUUAACAUUUUUCUCAAUGUAAAACAUUUCACAUGAAUUCAAAACAACAAUAUUAACAGAAACAUGGAUAGAGAACAUACCUGAAUGAAUAAAAAGGAAAAUUUAUGAAAAAAGUGUCAAUCCGUGGCCUUUCUCCACAAUUUCAACAUUGACCUGCCAGUCAAAACAGAUAAUUUUAGCCACGGAACUUACACGGUUAAUAAACACCAAAAGAAAAUACAUACUUCAUGUUACCCAACCUCUAUUAGUGUUACAAUAAGAUUAAAUUGUAUUUUUAACAAAAAAAAUACAUAUUAGUCACAAGAAACAAACUAAUUUAAAACUUUUUAGUGAGAGCUCCAGCAGAACUCACCUUUCCCCAGCUGCGCUUACCGCGAACUGAAGGAAAACAACCGGAACCUAACUCUUAAAGGGGCCACGUACUAUAUUUUAACAAUUACAAAAUAACACUGAAAAAUUUACAUACAAGGAUAGAAACAGCUCAAAUAACAUUCCAGAUGAAAGAAAAAUUCCCAGAAUAUAAAAAUAAUUAUAUAAAUAUAAAAUAAUUGAUAAUAACAAAGGGAGGGAUUUUGUGUGAAAUUAAUAAAUUUAUAUAACACCUGUUACAC